GACGAACGCUGGCGGCGUGCCUAAUACAUGCAAGUCGAACGCAGUGGGGACGGGUGAUUAACACGUGGGUAACCUCCCAUCAGAGGGGAUAACACUUGGAAACAGGUGCUAAACCGAUACUGAUGGAUGGACCCGCGGUGCAUUAGCUAGUUGGGGAGGUAACGGCUCACCAAGGCCACGAUGCAUAGCCGACCAGAGAUGUUGAUAGGCGACACUGUGACUGAGACACGGCCCGGAGUCCUGCGGAGGGCAGCAGGAGGGAAUCUUCGGCAAUGGAGGAGAGUCUGACCGAGCAACGCCGCGUGAGUGAAGAAGGUUUUCGGAUCGUAAGGCUCUGUUGUUAGAGAAGCGGUAUCUGACCAGAGAGCCACGGCUAACUACGUGCCAGCAGCCGCGGUAAUAC
rnacentral:rRNA from 1 species